CAGCAAGCCUCCCUCGCCGGCCGCCAGCAAGGAGGUGGCGUCCCGCAGGUCCUCGCUGCUGGUCCGUCGCGGGCCGGAGCCCGCCCCGCCGCUGGCCUUGGCGCCCAGGCCCAGCGGGAAGCCCCGAGGGGACGCCGCGCCCGACGAAGGGGUGGACACGCCGACCCGAGCUGGGCUGCCGGGCCCGAGGAGGCCUGCACCCUGCACGGCUCCCGAGCGGCUCCUCAGCUGCUCGUUCUGCUUCUCCAGCUUCUUCACCAGCUCCUGCAGCUUCCGCACCUCCUGGUCCGCGUUCACAUUGGAGUUAACGUCCUCCAUGCCGGCCGCGCCGCCCGCUCCGACUCCCCAAGCCGCAGGGGAAGCGCGGGGUCGGGGGGAAAGAGAGGCGUUACCGCCACCGCUCACGCUAGCCGAGGCGCCGGCAUAGAGCAGGGCCAGGCCCCACCGCCAGGGUCUCCCCGGCUCGGGUUGCGAAGCGCCGCUGGCCCCAGCCGAACCGCCUCAUCUGCGCCGGCUCCGCGACUGGGGGAGGCGGCGCCAAUAUCCGGCCUCGGCAGCCAUCUUCCCUCCGUCCCUCCGCCCCCUGCCGGCCAGCCCGGUCGGUGACCUCAGAGCGUCGGGGGAGGACGUGGCCGCCCGCGGGCUGA
rnacentral:lncRNA from 1 species